rnacentral:rRNA from 1 species
UACGAAGGGGGCUAGCGUUGCUCGGAAUCACUGGGCGUAAAGGGUGCGUAGGCGGGUCUUUAAGUCAGGGGUGAAAUCCUGGAGCUCAACUCCAGAACUGCCUUUGAUACUGAGGAUCUUGAGUUCGGGAGAGGUGAGUGGAACUGCGAGUGUAGAGGUGAAAUUCGUAGAUAUUCGCAAGAACACCAGUGGCGAAGGCGGCUCACUGGCCCGAUACUGACGCUCAUGUGCGAAAGCGUGGGUAGCAAACAGG